GAGUUUGAUCUUGGCUCAGGACGAACGCUGGCGGCGUGCUUAACACAUGCAAGUCCGAGCGGUGACCCUCCUUCGGGAGGUGAUCAGCGGCGAACCGGGUGAGUAACACGUGGGCAACCCUGCCCCUAACACUGGGAUAACCUCGGGAAACCGGGGCUAAUACCGGAUACGACCUCGAGCGGCAUCUCUUGAGGUGGAAAGCUCCGACGGUUAGGGAUGGGCCCGCGGCCUAUCAGCUUGUUGGUGGGGUAAUGGCCUACCAAGGCGACGACGGGUAGCCGGCCUGAGAGGGCGACCGGCCACACUGGGAUUGAGACACGGCUUAGACUCCUACGGGAGGCAGCAGUGGGGAAUAUUGCGCAAU
rnacentral:rRNA from 1 species